GACGAACGCUGGCGGCGUGCUUAACACAUGCAAGUCGAACGGACCUUAUUUGGAGGAAGCUUUCGGGUAGACACUGAAUAAGGUUAGUGGCGGACGGGUGAGUAACGCGUAGAUAAUCUACCUUAAAGACUGGGAAAACAGUUGGAAACGACUGCUAAUACCGGAUGAGCUAAACGGAAGGCAUCUUCUGUUUAGGAAAGGAGGCCUCUUAACAAUGCUCCCGCUUUUAGAUGAGUCUGCGUCUGAUUAGCUAGUUGGUGGGGUAACGGCUUACCAAGGCGACGAUCAGUAGUCGGCCUGAGAGGGUGACCGGCCACAUUGGGACUGAGACACGGCCCAA
rnacentral:rRNA from 1 species